rnacentral:rRNA from 1 species
UACAGAGGGUGCGAGCGUUGUCCGGAAUCACUGGGCGUAAAGGGCGCGUAGGCGUCUUGAUAAGCGUGCGGUGAAAGCCCGGGGCUCAACCCCGGGUCGGCCGUGCGAACUGUCGAGCUGGAGCACUGUAGAGGCAGGUGGAAUUCCGGGUGUAGCGGUGGAAUGCGUAGAGAUCCGGAAGAACACCGGUGGCGAAGGCGGCCUGCUGGGCAGUGGCUGACGCUGAGGCGCGACAGCGUGGGGAGCAAACAGG